GGAAUAUUGGACAAUGGGUGAGAGCCUGAUCCAGCCAUCCCGCGUGAAGGAUGACGGUCCUAUGGAUUGUAAACUUCUUUUGUACAGGGAUAAACCUACCCUCGUGAGGGUAGCUGAAGGUACUGUACGAAUAAGCACCGGCUAACUCCGUGCCAGCAGCCGCGGUAAUACGGAGGGUGCAAGCGUUAUCCGGAUUUAUUGGGUUUAAAGGGUCCGUAGGCGGACUUGUAAGUCAGUGGUGAAAUCUCAUAGCUUAACUAUGAAGCUGCCAUUGAUACUGCAGGUCUUGAGUAAAUUUGAAGUGGCUGGAAUAAGUAGUGUAGCGGUGAAAUGCAUAGAUAUUACUUAGAACACCAAUUGCGAAGGCAGGUCACUAAGAUUUAACUGACGCUGAUGGACGAAAGCGUGGUGAGCGAACAGGAUUAGAUACCCUGGUAGUCCACGCCGUAAACGAUGCUAACUCGUUUUUGGAUUUUCGGAUUCAGAGACCAAGCGAAAGUGAUAAGUUAGCCACCUGGGGAGUACGUCCGCAAGGAUGAAACUCAAAGGAAUUGACGG
rnacentral:rRNA from 1 species